CGGGAUUUGAUCUGGCAGUUCAUUUUUUUGCUUGUCAUCUGUUCAGUACUCAUAAACUUGUGGCAGGACUAUGUCUGCAACAACAAUUUUUUAUACAAAAUAAAUUGCGUGACCUACAGACUGCCAGAGAAGAAAAGAUCAGCUUGGGCUGCUAUAACAAAGAAACUGUAAGCGACAGAGGAGCAGUGGCUUUAAGGGGUGGACAAACAUCCGAGAGCGAUAUUUCAGGGAGUGCAAACGAGCAGAACGGGCGUCUGGAAGGGAAGCAAAUACACCAGGAAAUAUACCUUUAUUUGAAAGUCUCAAAUUUUGAAAGGAGUAUAUAAAGCCUAGAUAAGCUCAUUGCAGGAUGACACAUUAUCAGUCAGUCAUUAUCAUCUCGGAAAUCUUCAUGGACACCGACAGCCUCAAGCAGAAGAAAACGAAAACAUAAUCCCGGCGUUAUUGACGAAAAAUUUAGAAGCGUGUCCAACAUGUAAAAUAUAAGGAGGUAUGUCGCUAUAGAUUGGCGCAAAAAGGGAAUGAGACAUUGCGGUCAUUCGGGCAGAUGAUAAAAAAAAAUUACUAAACUCUGUAGCAACAGGUUACGAGAGUAUAAUAAAAACAGGCGAAGGGAAUUGAAAUUCCAGCCCAAAGAAGUUAGUGAUUAUUUUGAGUUGAUAUUUAAAAAAUUUUUAUAUAAGUAUCUAAAUUAAUUAAAUUCUAAAUCUAAUUUAAUUAUAAUAAACAAAUAAACUUUAAAAUAAAUAAA